rnacentral:lncRNA from 1 species
AGGAUGUCUUGUCGUGUCCUGGUGGGGUGGGUGGUAGUGGAAGGGACAGGUUGCCCUGCUGGCAAUCUGAUUAACAAGUAGUGGUGGAGAGGACUAGUGGAGUUGUUGAGUGGACCAAAUCCUUUGUCGGCAAUCCUAUUAAGAGGUAGUAGUAGUAGUAGUAGUGUGCAGUGGAAUAGAGUGGAGUGGAUUAGUGAGGUUGAGGGGACCUGUUGCUCUGUAGACAAUCAUCUUAGUGAAGUGGUCAUAAGACCAGCCCACAUAGCCAGGAUCAGUAUGAACCCCUGUGGGCAGUCACACAGUGGUGGGCUAAGGGGAGACCACACUGACCACAGCACAGAGCACAUCCAAUGAUCAGCAUCUACUUGGAGCCAGUCAAAGGACACUCAUGCCUCUCCGGAAGGAAACCCUCAGAGACGUCUGGACAGACGACCGGUCUCAAGAAAGUCAAGAUAUGUCCACUCCACAUAAGAUAAUGCUUUCUAUAAGCCAAAGAAGAAGGCCGAGUCAGCCAACCCAGCCACCAAUGGUGCCGAUGCCAAGCCCAAAAAGAGCAAGAACAAGAAGAUCGAAGAGCUGUCUGGAGAAGAGAAUCCUGCUGUUCAAAGUAUGGACUGCUCUGCACAGUUUAAAUGACAUACAGUGCCUUGCGAAAGUAUUCGGCCCCCUUGAACUUUGCGACCUUUUUCCACAUUUCAGG